AAAGCAGGCUGCCUACAUCACUUGGUGACAUUUUGCUUCCCUAGCUAAUGGUAUAUUUGACUAUACUCAGGAGGGGUUGUGGAUGUAGGUAACAGAGGCAUUGGGCUUUGAAGAGAUUCUUGAGGAUUCCUUCCCAUGGGAUGGGAGCCUUCUGUAUAUUCACCAGUGGGGAUCACUAUGGUCUCCUACCACCCCAGACUUCUUUCCCUGAUGCUCGUGUUUCUUGGCCUGACCUUUAAGCCUCUUAUGAGAAGGAGCUGGGUCUUGUUCAGUUUUGCAUCCCCAGUUCCUAGUAGAAUGUCUGGAAGGCACAUUUCCAGAUCCAGACACCAAGAGUAAAAGCAGCUCUCUGCCCAGCCUCAAACAUGUGGGGCUCCUAAUGAAGGGGGUGGAGGUAAGCGCCACACAGAAAGAUGAGAGCCUUGUCCCGGCCUCCAUCGUCUGAGCAGAUGAAGUGGGAGGAUCUCUCUCCGGCCAAGCCUGAGGACCCUUUGUGCGCUUAUCUCAAAGGACAUCCAUCAGCAGAUAAUUUUUGCAGAAAUGCUCUGUGGCCUAGCUCCAUCUCCAGCCUCGGCCUUUGCUCAUUUGGUGCGCAGCAAUGCUGCAGGAUACAGAAGCAUCUGAGUGGAGAAGGCAGGCGAUGCUUCUGGAAUCCUGACACUUUAGAGGUGGUGUGCGUUGGACUGUGGUCCCCUAAAAGGAUAGGAUGAAGUACUACUCCUCUGGACCUCAAAUGUGACCUUAUUUGGAAAUGGAGCUGAUGCAGCUAUGAUGGUUCACUGAAGUCAUAUGACGGCAGACCCCUAAUUCAAUAUGGCAUCCUCAUAAGACAAUGUUUCUCAACCUUCCUAAUGCUGCGACCCUUUAACACAGUUC